AGCAAAGUCUUGUAGGGUUCCGUAGCGCAUCAUAUGCUAGUCUGGUCCAAGACAAGACGCACUUCUUCAAAUAACGAAGUUGUGACACGGAGGGAUAAAAGCCCGGGAGAU
rnacentral:sRNA from 2 species